rnacentral:rRNA from 1 species
AUUGAACGCUAGCGGGAUGCUUUACACAUGCAAGUCGAACGAGUGGCGGACGGGUGAGUAAUAUAUCGGAAUGUGCCCAGUAGCGGGGGAUAACUACUAGAAAGAGUGGCUAAUACCGCAUACUCUCGGAGCAGCCGAUAUGGGAUUAGCUAGUUGGUGGGUGAAAGGCUCACAAAGGCAACGUUCCGUCGAUGGUUUGAGAGGACGACCAGCCACACUGGGACUGAGACACGGCCCAGACUCCUACGGGAGGCAGCAGUGGGGAAUUUUGGACAAUGGGGGAAACCCUGAUCCAGCCAUCCCGCGUGUAUGAGAAGGCCUUCGGGUUGGAAAGUACUUUUGGCAGAGAAGCGGUAUCUGCAGAAUAAGCACCGGCUAACUCCGUGCCAGCAGCCGCGGUAAUAC